rnacentral:rRNA from 1 species
UCCCUAUCUGCCGUGGGCGUAGGAGAAUUGGUUGGGGCUGCUCCUAGUACGAGAGGACCGGAGUGGACGCACCACUGGUGUUCCGGUUGUGUCGCCAGACGCAUUGCCGGGUAGCUAAGUGCGGAAGAGAUAAGUGCUGAAAGCAUCUAAGCACGAAACUUGCCAAGAGAUGAGUUCUCCCAAUCUAAGAGAUAGUAAGGGUUGUUGUAGACU